AGAGUUUGAUCCUGGCUCAGAGUGAACGCUGGCGGCAGGCCUAAUACAUGCAAGUCGAACGGCAGCACAGCAGAGCUUGCUCUGGUGGGUGGCGAGUGGCGGACGGGUGAGGAAUACAUGGGAAUCUGCCCAGUCGUGGGGGAUAACGUAGGGAAACUUACGCUAAUACCGCAUGCGCCCUUCGGGGGAAAGCCGGGGACCUUCGGGCCUGGCGCGAUUGGAUGAGCCCAUGUCGGAUUAGCUAGUUGGCGGGGUAAUGGCCCACCAAGGCGACGAUCCGUAGCUGGUCUGAGAGGAUGAUCAGCCACACUGGAACUGAGACACGGUCCAGACUCCUACGGGAGGCAGCAGUAGGGAAUAUUGGACAAUGGGCGCAAGCCUGAUCCAGCCAUGCCGCGUGAGUGAAGAAGGCCCUCGGGUUGUAAAGCUCUUUUGUCCGGAAAGAAAAGCGCCGGGUUAAUACCCUGGUGUCCUGACGGUACCGGAAGAAUAAGCACCGGCUAACUUCGUG
rnacentral:rRNA from 1 species